CAUUUAAAGGAACACCUCAACAUCGGAGAAAUUUUGAGAAAGUCACAGCCUGUAUACUUCUGGAGGAUGCUGGAAGAACAAAGCAGCAGAGCUGGUUUUGGACCAGCAGGAUGCUGGACUCGGAGACAGCAGGGAGAAAUGAUCUUUACACACAACUUUGAUUUCCAUGGGACACAUACUGUGAUUUUUACUUGGAGAAUAACCAAAAUUGGAAACAAGAUGUUGGAGGUUUCUAUUGAGAUAUGCUCAAGUUCAGAGAAUCUGCUCAGCCAUGUCCAGUCUGCUAAUAAGCCUGUCAAAGGAGUUUUCCCUCGGAAAGAAAAACCCACAGCAGGAGCUGCUACCUGGACUUAUGUGAAGUAGAUCUGUGCAGCACAAGGGGAAGAUUAGCCCUGAACUAACUACUACCAAUCCUCCUCUUUUUGCUGAGGAAGACUGGCCCUGAGCUAACAUCCAUGCCCAUCUUCCUCUACUUUAUACAUGGGACACCUACCACAGUGUGGCGUGCCAAGCAGUGCCGUGUGCGCACCCGGAUCCGAACUGGUGAACCCUAGGCCGCCAAGAAGCGGAACGUAUGAACUUAAUUGCUGCGCCACUGGGCUGGCCCCUAUUUUGUAUUGUGAAUAAUUCUUUGCUCCAUUAAAGCAAAUGGCAUGCAGUAGGCUUGAUUGUUAUUUUGAGUUUUACUUUUGUUCCUCUUUUUCAUUGGAUAAUUGUAAAUCUGUGACUUGAGCCUCAGAUGAAAUAUACUUUCACCAGCCGUAUGGCUCCUUCUGCAGCAUCAAGUCACGAAGAUUCCAAAGACGCCAUGUAAGAAUGAUUCAUAUGAACAUAUGGCUUACAUCAUGUGCAUUAAAAUGCUGUGCUGCUGCUCUCUUAUUUCUUUUAAAUUUGGAAAAAUUUCUUUUUUUUUGUUUCUUAAAUAAGCGUUACUGAGUACAGACUUGUUCUUUCCCAAAUCUGUUCUCUUAAAAUUUCUCAACGAGUUAUUUAACCAAUUUUUUAACCUGUUAAAUAAGAUUUCAUCUAUUAUAGGCAUUGUCCAUCUCUGAGAAGUUACUGAUGAUUCUUAACUCACUUGCCAACUUGUGGGUUAGAUUCCGUUGGAUGUCAAAGAAAUCUGUAGAUGGAAUAGGUGAAAGAUAAUGCAGGUGGUGUUCAUUCCAUCUUAUCGAGUUGCAACUACCACAGUAUUUCUUAUGGCAAACAUGGAAAACAUUUUCAAGACGUAGUAAAAUGUGUUCUUAAAUAUAUAUUUGCUGUUUAUUUGGAAGGUAUUUUAAUUAGCCUUUGUAGUUUAAUAAAUUUUAUUGAGAUAUAAUUGACAUAAACUGUAAGCAUUUUCUGUGUUUACAUUUCAAUGAAUUUUGACAAAUUUAAAGACAAUGAUCGGAAUAUGGAGUAUUUCCACCACUAUGAAAAUUCCCCCAUGCUCCUUUCCAGCAGUCCUCCUGCGUCACUGACCGAUUCCAGACAACUGUCAGCUUGCUUUAUGCCAGGACUGAUUGAUCUGCAUCCUCUACAUUUCCAUAUAAAGGAAAUCAUAUAGAAUAUGCUCUUUUGUGUCUGACUUCUUUGCUCAGAAUAAUUAUUUUGAGAUUCAUCCAUGUUGUAACGUGUAAAUAUCCAAUCUUUUCAUUGUUGAAUAGUAUCCUAUUAUAGGGAUGUGUGCACAAUUUGUUUAUCCAUUCACCUGCUGAUGGACUCUGGUUUGUUUCCAGAAUUUUGCUAUUACAAAUAAAGUUGUUAUGAACAUUGGUGCAUAAGUCUUUUUGUGGAUGUGUAUUUUCAUGUGUCUUGGGUAAUUACCUAGAAGUGGAAUUAAUUUUAUAAGAAUAUAAAACAGUUUUUCAAAGUGGUGGUUCCCAGCCUUUAUAUUUUUACCUUUGCAUGUAUAUAUAUAUUCAUUUACAUAUAUGUAGGAAAACUACUAUCUAUCUGUCUAUGAAAACUACUAUCUAAUAAGGCUCAUAGUUGGUAUGAUAUAGAAUAUACUAAUAAGUACAGUUCAGAAAUAUUUACACAUAAAUAUACUUCACAUUCUAAUUGAUAAUCACUAUUUCCACAAUUUAUGCAAUGUUUGUCUAUUCCUGUGUAAUGAAAUGUUUUGCAAGAUUAUUCUUAUAAACUUUAAGGGAUUAAUAUAAUUCAUUUAAUCAAUAGUGUUCUACAGUGAUCCUUCUGUUUUUUAUUAUAAGAAUGCUAUAGUAAGUAUUUUUAUACUUCAUCUCGAUGUGCGUUUCAGAUUAAUUCUUCCAAAGAAAUUUCUAACUGUAACAUUAUGGGUCAAAUAAAAUGAACAGUUCUUAAAAGUUUUGUCCGGAUUUCUGAAUUGUGC
rnacentral:lncRNA from 1 species